UCUCUUCAUUCGUCUUCAUAGCCAGUUGGAAGCAGAUUCACAUGAGGGUUACGGUUACCAUCUUCCCAUAGAUAGGGCUUGGUUCUGAUGCGCAGGUGCGGUUAGGUGAUGAACUCGGGUCUCUCCUCCUCUCCGUGGUACGACUUCAAGAAAACAUUUGGCAUGCUCACUCCUGCCCCAAGCGCCACCACGAAAAAGGUCAGCAUAACAAAACAAAACAUAGAGGACCUCAAGGGAAAACAAGACAUUCUGUGAAAGGGUUUAUGAACCAAUCAAAGUAGCACAGUCAAUGACAUCAACAUACCAAGGCUGAACUCUGAUGCAGUGGGGAAAAAAACAGAAAGUCACACUCAAAUAAAGCAGUGCCAUACUAGGAGCUAUUGAAGAAAGACCUGACAAACGUGCUGGUAAGUGUAUUGUAUCAGUAUGCUAGUUAACAGACUUACAUCACACCCAGUCUGCACACAGC
rnacentral:lncRNA from 1 species